rnacentral:rRNA from 1 species
GACGAACGCUGGCGGCGUGCUUAACACAUGCAAGUCGAACGAAGUGGCGUACGGGUGAGUAACGCGUAAUCAACCUCCCCUUCUGAGGGGGUCAACAGUUGGAAACGACUGCUAAUACCGCAUACUGAAGGAGGGGAUUGCGUCUGAUUGGGUCUGUGGAGGGGUAACGGCCCACCAAGGCGAGGAUCAGUAGCCGGUCUGGGAGGAUGAACGGCCACAUUGGGACUGAGACACGGCCCAGACUCCUACGGGAGGGAGCAGGGGGGAAUCUUCCGCAAUGGACGAAAGUCUGACGGAGCAAAGCCGCGUGAGUGAUGACGGCCUUCGGGUUGUAAAGCUCUGUUAAUCGGGACGCGGUACCGGAAUAGAAAGCCACGGCUAAAUACGUGCCAGCAGCCGCGGUAAUUC